AAUGGGUCCGGUGACAUAUGUGGAACAUGUAGAUCCACGCGACCAGGUUGGCUCACAUUACCCUCUCUCCCACACAAGGCUCGCACCGGCGGCUGCUCUGUAAUUUCACACAGGCGCGGCGCGGCGGCGAUUCCCCACCGGCGAUAUGUCGACGGACGGACUUGAGCUCGACGGGAGGGGGGAGCACACAUCGGCGGAUGGGGUUGUGAUGUGUUUCCAGUGGAAUCCCAAGAUUCCAUGAGUGCACCAGUUCUUGAGCUCGAGAAGGGCGAUGAAGGACGUGGAGAUGGACAGAGAUAUGAGGUCUGCUUUGAAGCUACCAGCGGCCGAACGAGGAGGUGCGUUUUUUCCUGGUCCCAAUCAUGCUUUAUUCGCAGCUGUUGAGCUUAAACUGCUACUCCCAGUUUAGUUCAGUUUCUGAUGUGUCGAGGCAUAAACAGGAUUUUGUUCUAAGGCAUCUCCCUUUCUAGGGGAAGCAUAGUAGAGUUAUCAUAGUUAGAAUUGUGAGUUGCACAGACAUCGGCUCCUCGUAACCUUUUUUUUAUGAUUAGCAAGCAGUGUAGUAUGGAUGUACAAUCUGGGUUGUGUGGGACGCUCCUUUUUGAUUAUAGGAUUACCGAGAAUAUGAUGUUAUGGUGCUAGAUAAAAUUCUUGUUUGUGGAUUUAGCACGCUGCAAAAGGAAACAAAAUUAACAUGUGCAUCGGUUUGGAGGUUUGAUUUUGUAAUUAUAGCUGGUAUCGGGUGUGGAUCGUAACAACAAAUUAAGGUUGACAUUGAGGAUGUGUUUAUUCUAUAUGUAAUCCUUUUGUUCAGUCUGUGGGCAAAGAAAAAUAGAGCACUUAGGUGGUUCCCCGCUCCGGCGGCGGCUCAACUCCAAUCUGCAGAACACCGGAUCUGCCAAGGGCAAGGCCCUCGUCCACGGAUCUAGAGGGGAAAAAUCAUUUUCUUCGUUGUUUCGGUCGGUGAGGCUGUAUCACACGUCAAUUACUUGCGCUUUUCUCCUAGCUAUUGUUCAUCAGUUUCAGAUUUGAACUUUUUUGGUGAUUUUUAUUUUGUUCCAUCUAUUCCUUUGGUACGGGUGAUCUAGCUGUAUGGCUCGAUCGAGAUGCAUAUCACUUUUCUUGUUGACUCCGAAAUAGACUGCUCUCCUUUAUUUUCUUGUAAUCCCCUUCCAUCUAUUCCUUCUGUACAAAUGUGGUUUUCUUUUGUUUACUUGUAAUCCCCUUUGUCCGGAUUGGAUAGGUCUCUCCUCAUCUUGUUGUUGCGCAGAUCCAAAUUUGCCGUGAUGUAUUUUUAGACAAUAUAGAGAAUUUUUUUAUUCAUACCCAUGCUUAUGUGCGAGACCGGCUUAAUUUUUGUGAUUUAUUAGAUUCCUCUAACUUGGAUAAUCGAUGGUUAAUCGUACUGGAACUUAAUAGUAGAUUUGAUGUUCUGUUCUUGAUGUGCUAAUCCAAGGUUGAUAAUUAUUUCAUUCAAGUGGGGUAAAGUUUGAAUUCCUACCACUGAUUGCAAAGAUCUUCUGUUCCAUGGAUUUCAGUUUGGUUUGUUGACCCCUUUCCACUACAGUCACAGAACUGAGCAAUGUUGAUGGUCAAGUGUGCCGUGGCGGCGAGGCCACAUUCCUUGCCGGAAACGCUGGUUCGGGAGCUACAAGUGGCUGGACAAGAAGAAUCAUGCUGAUAUGGUCUGUAUCCUGAACCCUGAAGUAGAAGGCGUUUAAUCCGAUGCAUUUUCCUACUGUUGUGAUCUUGUAAUAUUGCCUUCUGGCCAAAUCAGCAAAAUCCCUGUUUGAAGCUGCGCAAGCUCUGUUUCUUUGGCUGUUGUUCCCUCUCAGCAAUCCAUUCGACUCGGGUAUAUGUUUGUAAUUAUUGUAAUGGAUUUGUACCAUUUGUGAACCAUGUCAAAUUGUUAAGGUGGGUGAUGGGUAUUACAACUAUGUAUGCAUGGUUGCUAGUUCUGUGCGUAGAACUUGAUCUGUGUAUUAGUCAAAACCGACACAUGUUGUGUGUUAGCUUAACAGGAAGAAACUGCAAUUGUCAAUGAGAGCAAUAUGUCGAGAAGGGA